rnacentral:rRNA from 1 species
AACGAACGCUGGCGGCAUGCCUAACACAUGCAAGUCGAACGAGACCUUCGGGUCUAGUGGCGCACGGGUGCGUAACGCGUGGGAAUCUACCCUUGGGUUCGGAAUAACAGUUAGAAAUGACUGCUAAUACCGGAUGAUGACGUAAGUCCAAAGAUUUAUCGCCCAAGGAUGAGCCCGCGUAAGAUUAGCUUGUUGGUGGGGUAAUGGCCUACCAAGGCGACGCGCUUUAGCCGGUCUGAGAGGAUGAUCAGACACACUGGGACUGAGACACGGCCCAGACUCCUACGGGAAGCAGCAGUGGUGAAUAUUGGACAAUGGGCGAAAGCCUGAUCCAGCAAUGCCGCGUGAGUGAUGAAGGCCUUAGGGUUGUAAAGCUCUUUUACCAGGGAUGAUAAUGACAGUACCUGGAGAAUAAGCUCCGGCUAACUCCGUGCCAGCCGCCGCCGUAA